rnacentral:rRNA from 1 species
CCUACGGGUGGCAGCAGUAGGGAAUAUUCGUCAAUGAGCGCAAGCCUGAACGAGCAAUGCCGCGUGAACGAGGAAGGUCUUCGGAUCGUAAAGUGCUGUUGAAGGGGAAAAAGAGCGGAGAGAGGAAAUGCUUGCAGAUGGAGAGUACCCUGCGAGGAAGGGACGGCUAACUACGUGCCAGCAGCCGCGGUAAUACGUAGGUGGCGAGCGUUAUCCGGAAUGAUUGGGCGUAAAGGGUGCGUAGGCGGCCUGCUAAGUCUGGAGUGAAAGGUCCCGGCUCAACCGGUACAGGCUCUGGAAACUCGCGGGCUAGAGUGCAGUAGAGGUCGGUGGAACUCCAUGUGUAGCGGUCAAAUGCGUAGAUAUCUGGAAGAACACCAGUGGCGAAGGCGGCCUCCUGGCCUUUUCCUGACGCUGAGGCACGAAAGCGUGGGGAGCAAAUAGGAUUAGAUACCCGAGUAGUC